UAAGUACUCCCUCCGUUCGGAAUUACUUGUCUCGGAAAUGGAUGUAUCUAGAACUAAAAUACAUCUAGAUACAUCCAUUUCUGCGACAACUAAUUCCGAACGGAGGGAGUAAAUC
rnacentral:pre_miRNA from 1 species